rnacentral:rRNA from 1 species
UACGGAGGGUGCGAGCGUUGUCCGGAAUCAUUGGGCGUAAAGGGCGCGUAGGCGGCACGGCAAGUCGGGAGUGAAAGCCCGGGGCUCAACCCCGGAGGGUCUUCCGAAACUGCCGAGCUAGAGUGCGGAAGAGGCAACCGGAAUUCCCAGUGUAGCGGUGAAAUGCGUAGAUAUUGGGAAGAACACCAGAGGCGAAGGCGGGUUGCUGGGCCGACACUGACGCUGAGGCGCGAAAGCCAGGGGAGCAAACGGG